AGAGACUGUCGUUGCAGAGGAAGAACUGGAGAGGUACUGGAAGAAAGGCAAGGGAACACUUUGGAUUUUUUAGCUGUAGAGGGGAUAUCCAAUGGAUAGUCCUCCGACCACCUUCGUUGUACACUACUAACGCAGCUCAGCUCUCCCUGGAAAAUAACGCACCAGUCUGACUCCCCAUCACCUGUCCUGAAAUUCCUCGUACACGACUCGACCUUGAUUCCCCUCAUCGAGACAUGAAUUUUGAGGUCAUCAAGGCACUUCAAACCACAAGGAAUCUUCACAAUCACAUCGAUAUCAUUUAUACUCUGUGACCACGAGAAUUUUUCGUGAUCUGCACCGUUAUAGCUAUCAGCCGAUUUAUUUGAUGUCAUUAUUUGGAAAUACUAAUUUUUUUUAUUGACAUUUACUCGCCAAGUUCACACUAAUCUCUUGUUUGGUUUAAUCGAAUUAUAUUCCCCCUGAACAGAACAUACGGGUUGAGUAUAUCGUAAAUGAGACGUCUCAUGACGUCGAAAAUGUUUAUUUAUUUUCGACGCUAUUUUUGUGUAAAAUUGAUUCGACAACUUUACCAUGUUAUUUUGUAAAGAAAUAUUUAACAAAAUCUUCCAUAGAAAUAUCAACAACUAUUGUUAUUGUUCUCGUAAUAAAGCCAAAAGACAUUAUAACUCUUAAAGUAUAGGGUCUUCAUAAUGUUGACGACAAAUUGUAAUGUUCAUUCCAAUUUUUAUUCAAUCAUUAAUAUUUUCAACAACAAAUUAAGUAGUCUAGCUAUCUAUACAUAAUUUACUGAAUACAGUGAAUAAAUAAAUAGAAAAAAAUGAGGUACACGAUUAUUAAUAGCUAAAAAAAUUAUUCUCACUCAUUAAUGACCAUUGAAUCAUUUAGUAAAUGUUAUAGACCAUCUCUUUGAAAAAUUCUAAAAAAAACUGAUAAAAAUUACACAAUAA